rnacentral:rRNA from 1 species
CUUCUUUGUCUGACGAGUGGCGGACGGGUGAGUAAUGUCUGGGAAACUGCCUGAUGGAGGGGGAUAACUACUGGAAACGGUAGCUAAUACCGCAUAACGUCGCAAGACCAAAGAGGGGGACCUUCGGGCCUCUUGCCAUCGGAUGUGCCCAGAUGGGAUUAGCUAGUAGGUGGGGUAACGGCUCACCUAGGCGACGAUCCCUAGCUGGUCUGAGAGGAUGACCAGCCACACUGGAACUGAGACACGGUCCAGACUCCUACGGGAGGCAGCAGUGGGGAAUAUUGCACAAUGGGCGCAAGCCUGAUGCAGCCAUGCCGCGUGUAUGAAGAAGGCCUUCGGGUUGUAAAGUACUUUCAGCGGGGAGGAAGGGAGUAAAGUUAAUACCUUUGCUCAUUGACGUUACCCGCAGAAGAAGCACCGGCUAACUCCGUG